UCCCAGCAGGGAGAGGACGGAGCAUAUGAGUCACCACGGAACUUGUUAAAAUACAGAUUCCAAGUCAGUUGGUCUGGAGUGAAGCCUGAGAAUUGCUAACAAGCUCAGAGGAUGCUGAGGCUGCUCAACAGAGUCACCCUCAGGCUUUAGAAAUAGCCUGGAGUUGGAAUGGGAGAGCUGUACGCAGGCCUUGGGCAAGCACUGGGCCCUGUGAUGGCCCUGCUAGAGGCUGCGUGUGAAUAGGCCCAGUCUCAAGGCACAAAACUACUUGCGCCAGCAGCUUGCACCAGCAAGAUAGCAGAAGCAGGAAGAGAGCCAGCCGGAAGACAUGUACCCUGGCCGGAAGACACCUACCCCUGAAGAUCGAUAAAGAGGCCAUCUGGGCACCACGUAGCAGUUAUGUCCGUCUCGUACACUUCCUGUUUACAGGAGACUAUAAAACCCCUGCCCCGUCCUCACUUGGGGCUGACACCAUUUUAGGCCUCAACCCGCCUCUACCCAGGCACUCAUUAAAACAGCAUGUUGCUUCACACA